GUGGAUAGAUGCUUGUUCACAGUGCAGGAGGUUUUUGUACGGCCACUUAAUGAGUUUGUAUCACUGUGGUGGACUUUUGGUGGAGGAACCAAACUCAUCAUUAACUCUGGCACCAUGGUCAGGCCCUCAGUCUCUCUGCUUCCCCCCUCCUCUGAGCAGCUCUCUGGGGGCUCGGCCACGCUGGCCUGCCUGCUGACCGGCUACUCUCCUCAGGGAGCCGUGGUGAGCUGGCAGGUGGACGGUACGGAGGUGACGGAGGGGGUCCUGAGCAGCUCAGAGGAGGAGAAGAGCGGCCGCUACAGCAGCAGCAGCACCCUGAGCCUGAGCCAGGAGCGCUGGAUGGAAGGAGAGCUGUACUCCUGCAGGGUCCUCCAUCAGGGCCACAGCCAGACCCAGUCCCUCCACAGGAGCCAGUGUAAGGGCUAGAGGGGCCGGCUGAAGCCCAGGACAGGAGCUCUGUGUGGGGGGGAGCAGCUCUGAUCAAUAGCAGUUUGAAUGCUUGUAGAGGAAACUGAAGCUUUGUGUGACAGAGAACAACACUGCUGUAAAGUGUUGGACAACAACAACUUAGAGAGGAAUGUGUGUCGCUCAGCAGCUUCAUGUGAGUGAGCUUAAUAACUGUCAUGUUGAUCACUGAUGUUGUUGCUAAUAAAGAUUUCACUGAUACAUAACUUCA